AAUGAGAACUUGUUCUCAACUAGCCUACCUGGUUAAAUAAAGGUGAAAUAAAAAAAUAAAAAAAUAAACUGUGGCUGAGAGAGGAGGGCACCAGGCUACAAACAGGGAGCAGACUGCAACCCUAGCCCGGCAGUUCCUGUGCCAGGAGUUGGUGACUACGAGCGGAGACCGAGAGAACCAAAGAGGACCCAAAGACAACGAGACUCUCCAAACUCUCCUCAGGCAGUGGAGGAGAUAGCUGGAGAGGGCAUCCCUGAGAUCCUCAACGCAGUAGCCAAAGACGCCAGCUCUAGAACUUGGCCCACUCUCAACAGGGUGAGGAGAUCCUCUCUCAACGCUCAAAGGGGAGUUAUGAAGAGGAAGACUCCCUGCUGCCUCAGGAGCAGUCAGAAGAUGAGGCCCAAGAGAGUGACUCUGAGGAGAGGAAGAAUGGCAACAGGAAGGAAGAGGGGGAUAACGAUGAAAUUGCAGAUGACUCGGAUAAUUAGGACAAUGUGUAGGAAUACUGUCAACUCUGUGAACUCUUGACCUUUGUGUCAACAAACUCUAACCUUGCUUAACCCAUAUCCCUUUGCACCCUCAGAUAGGAAUAGGUCAGGUAGAACCAAGAGAGGAUUCCUUGUGCGUUGCUGCCAUUGAGAAAAUUGACAAUUAGGGGAUUACUGUGGAAAGAGGGGUCACUAUGUUAGUGGAUGCUCAAAACGCUGCAAACGGCAAUAGAGUGCUGCAUUUUUUCAAACACUAAUGUCUGAGGCUGAGAAAGGGUCUUAUGAAAUUGUGACGUUUUGGAAAGCUGCUGAGUGCAGAAAAGUUAGAUUUACUUUGAAGAUACAGUAUGUUGCAAUGAAAUACUUCAACUGUAAAAUAUUAUUAUUCAUGUAUAAGACUCUCUUUAAAUAUUUUACAGAUUUUCUCUAUAAAUAUGUUAAUCAAGUUUAGCAUGUUUUAAAGUAACUGCCCAGUUAAAAUCUCACUUUUAAAAGUUAACAUUCUGUUAACUCAUAUCCAAAUAAUGUUGUUGACUCGUCCUAUACUCGUAUUUGUGGCCAAAGCACAAAUUGGAGAAGAAACACUUAAAAACCCCCACCUCAAACUUUUUCUCAAAAAACAAAUAGUUAUCAUAUAUAAUGUGACGUACUGUAUCAUUCAAAUAUAUACAAGUUAGUCUUGUUUCCAGUCUCACAAGCUUGAUUGAUUGCCUGAAACUGUAGUAGAUGAUGCAAUGGGCUCAUUUGAGUGGUAAGGCGAAAACAACCAACAGUAGACGAAGGUUGAGGAGUGAAGUUGGGGGAGGUGCAUCUGUAACAGCUGAAAGUAUGACACUAACCACAUUUCCUUCCACAGUUUUGCGAGUAAAGUCAUACCGUAUAUAAAAAAAAUCACGACAGCUGUGAUGCAAAAAAGAAAGGUCGAUGGAAACUCCUUUAUGCGCAAAUGUGAAUAUAAUCACCAUCAUAUUGAAGUAAACUUAGUCACACGAUAUGGUGUGUGUGGUCCUCACCACUACGACUCAGGAAACCAAGUAGUUUAUAAGGCUACAGAUUAAAUUAUCUAUGAUGAACUUCACAGGGUGGUGAAUGUGCACAGUGAACUUGAUGCUCCAUUACAAUACAUAUCGAGGGUCUUAUUCUGGUUACAUGAUGAUCGAUGCUUAAAUAUUCUGGCUCUUAUUAUCCACAAUAAUCUCAUCAUGUAGACUAGCCUACCCGCACUGUAUCUGCGAGCUGUUGGCUACAGCGCAUGUGCCAAAACCAUAGUAGGCACAUUUGUUAUUUAACUCAUCAGUUUUGUGACUAAACUAUCGGUAGGGUUGAAAAUGCGAUGGAAACAUUUAACUUUCGAUUUUGAAAACUUCAGUGAAAAGACAAUUUCGUGUGCACUGUCAUCAUGCACAUAUUUUUAUCCGCAACAAGUCCAUCGGGAUUCUAGAAUAUUCGCAUGAAAAUCUGUCGCCAAUUGGAUGGAAACCUGGCUACUGAUGUGGUUUUCCAACAAGGCUAAGUACAACAUGGCAGUGUUGCCAUUGUUUAUGAAAGUUGUUCUUCAUGUCGAAAUAAAUGUCUAU